CCAACUCCUUCUCCUUUCUUACCACAUGCACGUCGAACGGAAAGGCCCUGCUUUUGUGGGGUGCUCGAGUGGCGAACGGGUGAGUAACACGUGAGUAACCUGCCCUUGACUUUGGGAUAACUUCAGGAAACUGGGGCUAAUACCGGAUAGGAGCUCCUGCUGCAUGGUGGGGGUUGGAAAGUUUCGGCGGUUGGGGAUGGACUCGCGGCUUAUCAGCUUGUUGGUGGGGUAGUGGCUUACCAAGGCUUUGACGGGUAGCCGGCCUGAGAGGGUGACCGGCCACAUUGGGACUGAGAUACGGCCCAGACUCCUACGGGAGGCAGCAGUGGGGAAUAUUGCACAAUGGGCGGAAGCCUGAUGCAGCAACGCCGCGUGCGGGAUGACGGCCUUCGGGUUGUAAACCGCUUUCGCCUGUGACGAAGCGUGAGUGACGGUAAUGGGUAAAGAAGCACCGGCUAACUACGUG
rnacentral:rRNA from 1 species